UAUUGCGCAAUGGCCGAAAGGCUGACGCAGCGACGCCGCGUGUGGGAGGAAGCCCUUCGGGGUGUAAACCACUGUCGGGAGGGACGAAUCGCGAACGGGCGAAUAGCCCGGGCGCUUGACGGUACCUCCUAAGGAAGCGCCGGCUAACUCCGUGCCAGCAGCCGCGGUAAUACGGAGGGCGCAAGCGUUGUUCGGAAUCACUGGGCGUAAAGCGCGUGUAGGCGGCCAGGCAAGUCGGGUGUGAAAUCCCGGGGCUCAACCUCGGAACUGCACUCGAAACUGCUUGGCUCGAGUCCCGGAGAGGGUGGCGGAAUUCCCGGUGUAGGGGUGAUAUCCGUAGAUAUCGGGAGGAACACCAGUGGCGAAGGCGGCCACCUGGACGGUGACUGACGCUGAGACGCGAAAGCGUGGGGAGCAAACA
rnacentral:rRNA from 1 species